UUUCAUAAACAACGUACCAUAUUUACACACGUGUAUGUUGAAUUAUGCAGGCUUUCGUUUUUUUUAUCGAUGUUGGUUUAGACAUGUUUACAAACUUGCUAAGUUGCUAAGAUAAAUACAAAUACAAAUGCCAGCUAAACUGUUACCGGUAACAUUUGUUCUCAUGAUCAAACUCAAGAAACUCUAAGUACAGAUGAUUUGUUUAAAGUUAUAUGUAUUUUACUGUUGUAUUUACUUGAAGCUUUCUUAGAUUUUGAAACGAAGUAAACACGUAAUGUGUGUUGCUAAUGUUGGGCCAUGUAAUAUGUAAUACAUUUACGUUUUAAUGAAUAGUCUAACGAUUUAUAGUCGUUGUACUCUAUUGUUAUAAUAUUUCUUUUUGACUGAAUACAUGUUUGUUUUAUUUGUCUAUAUCCUAGAUUCGCAGCUGUACACAUCCUUCUACACUGUAUGCAAACAUGCAACAUCAUUACACACAGUACAAGGAGUCAGACUGGCAUAUGAGGAGCAAAGGAACCCAGGCAGUAGCAUCGUUUCACAAUGUUUCCAUCAUCAUCAUCAGUGGAUGCCUUUGCCGUCCGUAGCCUGAGAUUUCAGAUUUGCAGCAAAAAAAAAUGAUUUUCUCAUUUAUUGGAAUGCUGUGCAGGUAUUUGUACCUUGCAGCCAUCCAUUACAAUGUCACCAAGCCGUAACAAAAGCAGGAGAGGGAAAGUACAAGGCUAUGUUCCCAAAACACAAAUGACAUACCUUAUGUGGAGGAUGUGAUCAGGCUUGUGUUUGAUGAGGUAUUUGAAGAUAAGCUGAAGGAAACCCCGAUUCCAAUGGACCUGGCAUCACAGUUUGAGAGACCUUCAAAGGAGGACGUGAUUGCAUGCCAUCUUCAGUGCAGGGGUCGUCGAAAGCCAAAAUUGUGACCGAUCUGAUCAGGAAGCUCCAAGCGUAUCUGGAGAACAACACACGACAGGAUGAUAACCUUAUAGUGUCGUCUUAGAUAGCACCAGCUGACAAAGCUUUGAUAUGCCAUUUAUCUGAAUAGAUAGCUGUAAGAAAUGAAUUGAACAAUUUUUGAAACAAGAGCACAAUAUGGUUACUAAAGUAUGUUUAUUUGUAUAUUGUUUAACAUUUAAAUAUAUAUUUGUAAUAAAUAAAAAAAACUUUUGACUGACUAUUAUAUUUUCUU